rnacentral:lncRNA from 1 species
AUAGCAGUAAUAGUACAUGUAGUAGUUGCAUGUUACAUUUGCAUACAUGUGACAUCGCAAACAUACACACAUAAUGUACACAUUGCAUACAUAUGUAUGUUGUAAGACACGCACACAUAGCUAAUACUUGAUUUCUAAGCAUGCAAAUGCAAAUCGAUCAAACUAAAAAUUGUUGCACAUUAAGGUUUCAUAAACAGGAUUAUUAUAAUUGUUACUAUAUGGCAAGGUUUAUUGGGAGGUAAGCGUAGGAGCAGGGCGAAACUAAAUUGGUGUACAUCAACUACAUGGUUACCGUCUACUAAUCUUUAUAGCAAAAAAUGGAAAUACACACUCCAGCAUUAAUAUGGAAUGGUGUGUGUAUAAGGUUAUUGUCAGUAAGCCUAAUUAUCAUGUGUCAGACUACAAAAAGCAAAGUUCAUGCAAAAAAACAAUACAUGCAAUCCUGUCAAGAAACCCUGCAACACUAAAGAUACUGUAUAAUUCAACAUACUUACGUAUUGAGCUGAAUAGUUGCUGUGUCAGGGUCUGGUAAGCCCAACUAGCAGAGGCCCAGGAGAGGCAUCCCGAUCCGCCAUAAUUAUUUCUGAAGUCUUAGGAGUGUCACUGUUGGAGUGUUGGUUUUAGGUGUGGCUUUGUUGAAAACAUUAACACAUACCAGAUAAGUGAACUGAUAACGUUUUCUUUUUUUCUGAAUGUUUUCGAAAUCAUUAUUAUUUUAGAGAGAGAGAUGUAGACUACUAGAAUAAAGAAGCAGCCAGUUAAUGAUGACAGAAAGACUGGUGCAGCACUGCAUGGAAUUCAACACUUUAAUAUGCUGGAAUCAUCAUAUCUGUUGAAACAAGUGCAGAGCCAGUUGCAUUCUAGAAUUAUUGACUUAGAUCUAGUUUGCGUACAGAUUACUUCUAUUGCACAAAUUUAAUUUGAGGUCUAAUCCAGCAAACCACACCUAUAACAGCCAGGAGCCUCAUACGGCACGUUACCAUCAAUUCUUUGACUGUCUUCUGGGCUCUAUAGUCUGUACUGAUCUACACUGGGAUUUAAAAUGGCUGAUGAACUUUUGAAAAGUCAAAGACUGAGAGUGAAUGACAAGGUUUUUUAUCAGGAAACAGUAACGAAUAAGAUGACAAGAAAAGUAACAAGUGAAUCCGCCAGCAGUUAUCUAGUUGCUUGCUUUAAAGAGACUCCUAAACAAUUAGAUGAAAAAUUGUUCUUGAUUAGUGGACAGCAGGUUAAACGAUAACUUUAGAAAUUUUGUGUGCAUUUACUCAUUAUUUAUCAUUAAUAAAGAAUAUAAUAUUGGCAAAAGCAAGCUAUUAGGCAUUAUGUAAAUUUAAAAUUGGUCUUACAUUUAGUGCCCCAUUUAUCAGUAUACUGGUACAUCUUUGAAGAGAUUGUAGUGAGCUGACUCAUCAUGACAUCACAUCAGAACUCAUAAAUAAUCAUGAACUAUCUUUGUAUAUAAUGCAUGCUGUGUAAUUAUUAUAAUCAGUGUUUGGGUGUCAACA